ACCAGCGGAGGGAUCAUUACCGAGUUUACAACUCCCAAACCCAAUGUGAACGUUACCAAACUGUUGCCUCGGCGGGAUCUCUGCCCCGGGUGCGUCGCAGCCCCGGACCAAGGCGCCCGCCGGAGGACCAACCAAAACUCUUUUUGUAUACCCCCUCGCGGGUUUUUUAUAAUCUGAGCCUUCUCGGCGCCUCUCGUAGGCGUUUCGAAAAUGAAUCAAAACUUUCAACAACGGAUCUCUUGGUUCUGGCAUCGAUGAAGAACGCAGCGAAAUGCGAUAAGUAAUGUGAAUUGCAGAAUUCAGUGAAUCAUCGAAUCUUUGAACGCACAUUGCGCCCGCCAGUAUUCUGGCGGGCAUGCCUGUCCGAGCGUCAUUUCAACCCUCGAACCCCUCCGGGGGGUCGGCGUUGGGGAUCGGCCCUGCCUCUUGGCGGUGGCCGUCUCCGAAAUACAGUGGCGGUCUCGCCGCAGCCUCUCCUGCGCAGUAGUUUGCACACUCGCAUCGGGAGCGCGGCGCGUCCACAGCCGUUAAACACCCAACUUCUGAAAUGUUGACCUC
rnacentral:rRNA from 1 species